GGAAGAGAAAAAAAUAAGAAAAAAUUAUUUUCUUCUCCAUCUUUCUUUCACCUCUUCAUCUCCUCUAGAAGUUCAUCUUCAAUCUCUGAAAAGAUUCUAGAGAUUUGAAGAAAGGAUUUAGAUCAGUCAAAAAGGAGAUCUUCACACGAACUAGCAUUCUCGACAAGACCGAUCAGAUCGGAGCUUCGAGUGGACUUUUCAUAU
rnacentral:lncRNA from 1 species